AAAUGUUUCCCGUGUAUCAUGAUCAUUGUCUUGUGUGUAUUUCUUCUUCUAAAUAUUACAUGGAUCAUAUUUCUUUACUAUCGGUUGAAGAAAAGAAAUCAAUCUCAAAAUCGUGAAAAGGAGAGUGGAAUUGAACUACAAGAGGCUGAAUACAUUUCACUGUUUAAUCCAGGGAAUGAGAAAGCAUUGCAAGAGCCUGAAUUAAUUUCAGUAUCAGAGAAA
rnacentral:lncRNA from 1 species